rnacentral:rRNA from 1 species
GAACGGUAGCACAGAGAGCUUGCUCUUGGGUGACGAGUGGCGGACGGGUGAGUAAUGUCUGGGAAACUGCCCGAUGGAGGGGGAUAACUACUGGAAACGGUAGCUAAUACCGCAUAACGUCUUCGGACCAAAGUGGGGGACCUUCGGGCCUCACACCAUCGGAUGUGCCCAGAUGGGAUUAGCUAGUAGGUGGGGUAACGGCUCACCUAGGCGACGAUCCCUAGCUGGUCUGAGAGGAUGACCAGCCACACUGGAACUGAGACACGGUCCAGACUCCUACGGGAGGCAGCAGUGGGGAAUAUUGCACAAUGGGCGCAAGCCUGAUGCAGCCAUGCCGCGUGUAUGAAGAAGGCCUUCGGGUUGUAAAGUACUUUCAGUGGGGAGGAAGGCGAAGAGGUUAAUAACCUUUUCGAUUGACGUUACCCGCAGAAGAAGCACCGGCUAACUCCGUG